rnacentral:rRNA from 1 species
AGUGAACGCUGGCGGUAGGCCUAACACAUGCAAGUCGAACGGCAGCACAGUAAGAGCUUGCUCUUACGGGUGGCGAGUGGCGGACGGGUGAGGAAUACAUCGGAAUCUACUUUUUCGGGGGGGAUAACGUAGGGAAACUUACGCUAAUACCGCAUACGACCUACGGGUGAAAGCAGGGGAUCUUCGGACCUUGCGCGAUUGAAUGAGCCGAUGUCGGAUUAGCUAGUUGGCGGGGUAAAGGCCCACCAAGGCGACGAUCCGUAGCUGGUCUGAGAGGAUGAUCAGCCACACUGGAACUGAGACACGGUCCAGACUCCUACGGGAGGCAGCAGUGGGGAAUAUUGGGCAAUGGGCGCAAGCCUGACCCAGCAAUACCGCGUGGGUGAAGAAGGCCUUCGGGUUGUAAAGCCCUUUUGUUGGGAAAGAACAGCAGCAUGUUAAUACCCCGCUGUUCUGACGGUACCCAAAGAAUAAGCCCCGGCUAACUUCGUG